rnacentral:rRNA from 1 species
UACGUAGGGGGCAAGCGUUGUCCGGAAUCAUUGGGCGUAAAGAGCGUGUAGGCGGUUCGGUAAGUCGGCUGUGAAAGUCCAGGGCUCAACCCUGGGAUGCCGGUCGAUACUGCCGGACUAGAGUUCGGAAGAGGCGAGUGGAAUUCCCGGUGUAGCGGUGAAAUGCGCAGAUAUCAGGAGGAACACCGGUGGCGAAGGCGGAUCUCUGGGCCAUUACUGACGCUGAGGAGCGAAAGCGUGGGGAGCGAACAGG